AAUUUUCUUCUUUCACAGUUUCAAAAUUCAUAUGAGUCCAGUGAUAUUCUCCAUUAUUUAUUUUUACAGUAAAUCAGGUAUGUCAGUGAUCAUACAAUGCACACCAACUGGAGAAAAAAGAUCCAGAGUAUGUAAUGGCUUCUCAUUCUUCAUUUUGAUGUUUCUCCAAUGACUGUCAGAAACUCUAUAGACAUUAAAUUGGACUUUGGAACAGAUUUUAAGAACAAGGCAGAUGUAAAGGCUAUAUCAUGCUCUCAAAUUCUUCAUUACAGAAAGGCAUAUAUCUCCAAGUUAUUAUGCUUUUCUAAACUUUGGAAGCAUCUGCAGCUGCACACAGUAAAACCAAAACCAGCUGGACUCUCUUAUCCAGCACAAGGACAAAUUUAAAGAAGUUUCACAUUUAUGACUUUCAUGAAAAAUCCUCCAGUCAAAUCCAAAAGAAACACGAACAUUUACCCUGCUAAAAAAGGUUUAACGCUUUCAUUCUGGCUUUGUGAGAUGAUGGCACAGGAGAGGCUGUGAUAAGGUGGUGGGCCUGGUUAAAACCCACCAAAUUUCUGCGGCUGCCCAUAACGACAAA
rnacentral:lncRNA from 1 species